ensembl:snRNA U6 U6 spliceosomal RNA
GUGCUCACUUCGGCUGCACAUAUACUACAAUUGGAACGAUACAGAGAUUAGCAUGGCCCCUGUGCAAGGAUGGCACGCAAAUUUGUGAAGCGUUCCAUUAUCUU